rnacentral:rRNA from 1 species
CUUGGUCAUUUAGAGGAAGUAACGGUCGUAACAAGGUUUCCGUAGGUGAACCUGCGGAAGGAUCAUUCUUGUUGUUGUAGCUUACGCUACUACUUAUUAUGUACACUGUUACUCGCCAUUUGGCGGCCGCAAGGUCGUCAUCUGGCUUACUUUUUAUAUACCUCUCUAACAACCUUAUACCACCAAACUAAGUUUGAGAAAACUUCUAGCAAUGGAUCUCUAGGCUCUCGCAUCGAUGAAGAUCGCAGCAAACUGCGAAAUGUAGUGUGAAUUGCAGACCGUGAAUCAUCGAAUCUUUGAACGCACAUUGCACCGUCUGGAAUCCCGGACGGUAUAUCUGUUUGAGUAUAGUAACUAAUCAUCAACUAUGAGUGUGAAAACACUUAAUGGGAGAUGAAAUUGGGAUUUUGCGGCUUGCCACAUAUCCUUAAACGUAGCAACACAAUCUUAGGCAAUCCGCAAGGAAUGCUAAAAGAACCUGUAUUGCAUAUAUUUAUAAUAAAGCUAUUUUAGCUUUGAAAACCUAUCUCAAAUCAGGUAAGAUCACCCGCUGAACUUAAGCAUAUCAAUAAGCGGAGGA